rnacentral:rRNA from 1 species
CAGUAUUAUAUGCUGAUGUUAAAGAUUAAGCCAUGCAUGUGUAAGUAUAAAGUCCAAGAAGGAUGAAACUGCGAACGGCUCAUUAGAACAGUUAUAGUUUCUUCGAUUAGUAAGUACAAGGAUAGCUUUGUGAAUGAUAAAGAUAAUACUUGAGACGAUCUUAUUUGUAGAGAUACAAAUAGGCCUCUAAAUUAUUAAUAAUUUAGAGAGGAAAGAUAUUUGGGAAGAAAACAAAUACCAUGACAAUUGUAGUAUAGCAAUAUAUAACAAGUAAUCGAUGAGAAUAUCUGAUCUAUCAACUAGUUGGUAGUAUCGAGGACUACCAAGGUAAUAACGGAUAACGAGGAAUUAGGGUUUGACAUCGGAGAGGGAGCUUUAAAGAUGGCUACCACUUCCAAGGAAGGCAGCAGGCGCGUAAAUUACCCAAUUUCAACAAAUAGAAGAGGUAGUGACGACAAAUAACUCACGAGAUGGGAAACCAUUUCUUGAAGGAAUGAGUAAGAUACAAAAGAUCUUACGAAAUCAAUUGGAGGGCAAGUCUGGUGCCAGCAGCCGCGGUAAUUCCAGCUCCAAUAGUGUAUAUUAAAGUUGUUGUGAUUAAAACGCUCGUAGUUGAAUGUAAAAGCAUAUAUAUCUUGAUUGUAGUUUAACUUUAAGUUAAAAUGCAUGAUAGAUGCUAAAAUAUAUGUAUUAAGGAAUGAUUGUAUGUGAUGCAUACAAUUGUUAAUUACUUUGAAAAAAUUAGAGUGCUUAAAGCGAAUUUAUUAAAGAAUAAUGAAGCAUGGGACAAUAUAAAAGGAGAUUGGAGCAAUCCAAUGUCGAGGAAAAAAGAUUAAGAGGAAUAAUUGGGGUAAUUCAGAAAAUAACGGGAGAGGUGAAAAUUCAUGAUCGUUAUAAGAUGAACUAGAGCGAAAGCAUUUUACUCAAUUAUGUUCAUUAAUCAAGAACGAAAGUUAGGGGAUCGAAGACGAUCAGAUACCGUCGUAGUCCUAACUAUAAACGAUGUCAACGAAGGAUUGGAUAAAACUAAAGAAUUGUAAUGAAUAGUUAGCUUUGCUAAAUGUUCAAUAUAAUUCAAAACAACCUUAUUCAGAACUUGAAGAGAAAUCUUGAGUUAAUGGACUUCAGGGGGAGUAUGGUCACAAGGCUGAAACUUAAAGGAAUUGACGGAAGGGCACACAAGGAGUGGAGCCUGCGGCUUAAUUUGACUCAACACGGGAAAACUUACCAAGACCGAACAUUAUAAGGAAUGACAGAUUAAGAGUUCUUUCAUGAUUUGAUGGUGAGUGGUGCAUGGCCGUUCUUAGUUGGUGGUAUGAAUUGUCAGGUUAAUUCCGGUAACGAACGAGACUGAAACCUAUUAAUUAGUUCAAUACCUAUAAGAUAUUGAUGUUAGCAAUAACAGAUUAUUAAUCACUUCUUAAAGGGACACAUUUCAAUUGUUCUCUAAUUACAAAUAAUUGGACGCAAGUUCAAUCUUGUAAUCGGAGAAAAAAGAAAAAGGAAGCAUUCAGCAUUAACAGGUCUGUGAUGCCCUUAGACAUCUUGGGCUGCACGCGCGCUACAAUGAAGACACUAGAAAGUAAUAGUUAUAUGUAAAAAUAUAGUGCGUAUAUUGGUUUCCAAUAUUGUAUUAUAAUCUUUUACAUAAACCAAAACCGUAAGGUGGAGGAAAACUUAAAACAUCGUACAUGACUGGGAUAAAUGAUUGGAAUUAUUUGUUUUGAACGAGGAAUUCCUUGUAAUAUCAUGUCAUCAACAUGAGAUGAAUACGUCCCUGCCCUUUGUACACACCGCCCGUCGCUCCUACCGAUUGAAUAAAGAGGUGAAAUUCUAAGACUUUGUCACUUGUGAUGAGGAAAUGGAUUUAAAUCUCCUUAUUUAGAGGAAGGAGAAGUCGUAACAAGGUUUCCGUAGGUGAACCUG